rnacentral:rRNA from 1 species
UACGAAGGGUGCAAGCGUUAAUCGGAAUUACUGGGCGUACAGGGUGCGUCGGCGGUUCGUUAAGUCUGUCGUGAAAUCCCCGGGCUCAACCUGGGAAUGGCGAUGGAUACUGGCGAGCUAGAGUGUGUCAGAGGAUGGUGGAAUUCCCGGUGUAGCGGUGAAAUGCGUAGAGAUCGGGAGGAACAUCAGUGGCGAAGGCGGCCAUCUGGGACAACACUGACGCUGAAGCACGAAAGCGUGGGGAGCAAACAGG